UCUUUAGCCCCUUACAAUCAUUUUUAGAGACAACGCCCCAGGAUGGGAACAUAGCAAGGCACCUCUUCUUUUGGUGUGUUUGGGUACCUGGAGAAGA
rnacentral:SRP_RNA from 1 species